GACGAACGCUGGCGGCGUGGAUUAGGCAUGCAAGUCGCGCGACGGGCAGGAUUCGUCCUGCUACGGAGCGGCGAACGGGUGAGUAACACGUGAACAAUCUGUCCCCUCGUUCCGGAUAAUUGGCCGAAACGGCCUUGUAAUACGGGGGAGGGUGGUGACGGGGCAUCUCGACACCAAGGAAGGUUGAGGUAAUUUAUUAUCUUGACCGCGCGGGG
rnacentral:rRNA from 1 species